rnacentral:rRNA from 1 species
GAUGAACGCUGGCGGCGUGCCUAAUACAUGCAAGUCGAGCGAACGGACGAGAAGCUUGCUUUUCUGAAGUUAGCGGCGGACGGGUGAGUAACACGUGGAUAACCUACCUAUAAGACUGGGAUAACUUCGGGAAACCGGAGCUAAUACCGGAUAAUAUUUUGAACCGCAUGGUUCAAAAGUGAAAGACGGUCUUGCUGUCACUUAUAGAUGGAUCCGCGCUGCAUUAGCUAGUUGGUAAGGUAACGGCGUACCAAGGCAACGAUGCAUAGCCGACCUGAGAGGGUGAUCGGCCCCACCGGAACUGAGCCGCGGUCCAGACUCCUACGGGAGGCAGCAGUAGGGAAUGUUCCGCAAUGGGCGAAAGCCUGACGGAGCACCGCCGCGUGAGUUAUGAAGGUCUUCGGAUCGUAAAACUCUGCUAUUAGGGAAGAACAGAUGUGUGAGUAACUGUGCACACCUUGACGGUACCUAAUCAGAAAGCAACGGCUAACUACGUG